GACGAACGCUGGCGGCGUGCCUAACACAUGCAAGUCGAGCGGAGACAUUAAGGAGCUUGCUCUGAGAUGUUUUAGCGGCGGACGGGUGAGUAACGCGUGAGCAACCUUUCUCUCAGUGGGGAAUAACACAGGGAAACUUGUACUAAUACCGCAUGAGACCACAGAGCUGCAUGGCUUAGGGGUCAAAGAUUAAUCGCUGAGAGGUGGGCUCGCGUCUGAUUAGGUAGUUGGUGAGGUAACGGCCCACCAAGCCGACGAUCAGUAGCCGACCUGAGAGGGUGAUCGGCCACAUUGGGACUGAGACACGGCCCAAACUCCUACGGGAGGCAGCAGUGGGGAAUAUUGGGCAAUGGGGGAAACCCUGACCCAGCAACGCCGCGUGGAGGAAGAAGGUUUUCGGAUCGUAAACUCCUGUCCUCAGGGAAGAGCAGAAGACGGUACCUGAGGAGGAAGCCCCGGCUAACUACGUG
rnacentral:rRNA from 1 species